rnacentral:rRNA from 1 species
AUUGAACGCCGGCGGCACGCCUAACACAUGCAAGUCGAGCGGCAGCGAGACUAGUAGCAAUACUAGUUGUCGGCGAGCGGCGGACGGGUGAGGAACACGUAGGAACCUGCCUGAGAGAGGGGGAUAACUAAUGGAAACGUUAGCUAAUACCGCAUAAUCUCGAGAGAGCAAAGCUGCAGCAAUGUAGCGCUAUUAGAGGGGCCUGCGUCCGAUUAGCUAGUUGGUGGGGUAAUGGCUCACCAAGGCGAUGAUCGGUAACUGGUCUGAGAGGACGACCAGUCACACAGGGACUGAGACACGGCCAGACUCCUACGGGAGGCAGCAGUGGGGAAUCUUGGACAAUGGGGGCAACCCUGAUCCAGCGAUGCCGCGUGAGUGAAGAAGGCCUUCGGGUCGUAAAGCUCUUUAGGCUGGGAAGAAGGGUGGUUGAGGAAAUGCGAUCAUUUUGACUGUACCAGCAGAAUAAGCACCGGCAAACUCUGUGCCAGCAGCCGCCGUAA